CCCGCGGUUAGACGGAAAGACCCCGUGCACCUUUACUAUAGUUACAUAUUGUAAUAAAAGUUUUUAUGUGUAGCAUAAGUGGGAAGUUAUUAUUGUUAGAUAUUUACGCAAGUAAAUAAUUUAAACGUUUGUGAAAUACCACUCUUAAAUUUUUUUAUUACUCAUUUUUUAAGACAGUGUGUAAUGGGUAGUUUGACUGGGGCGG
rnacentral:rRNA from 13 species